GUUGGUCAUUUGACUGAUUCAAUUGAGUGAUUUGUGUUUGCUUGUCUCAUUCUGUUGGUCAGCAGGAGGGAGUUUGUAUCCUCCUGUGGACAAAGAAGAGAUGAGCCUCCUUGUUGACAGGCUGACCUUCCCAGGAUCCUUAAACUGCCUGAAGCACAGUCUGCUGCAGGGAGAGGUGCACGCUUCCUCCUUGGGUCUCGGAUCAGGUGGGGAUAAAAGUUAUUGCUGCAGUUCCGUCACCAGCAUUAGAGGAAGCUCGGUGGAUGAGGUACAAUCCAAGAAUGAGACUCAUUUUUCAUCUACCAAGCGUUAUGGGAUGAAGCACCAAGUCAUUAGAAAUGGAUUUUCCAUUCUGCAUCUUUUAAUGAGGAGAUUGAAGAAUAGACAUAUGGAGAAGCUUGCUAAUGGCAAUCCUGUGUAUGGGCUGUUGAAUCGUAAAGUCGGAUGAAGUUUUAACUGUUGCUGUGACUGACCUAAAGAGGAUUUGCCUCCACCAAUGCUACCCUGGAGGGAGGUCCCAACUAGGGUCCCAAAGGUAUGGAACCUCCUGGAGUAGUUGGAGCUCACACUGAUAUAGGAAUCUGAUAAAAAAUAAAUUGAUGCUUCUUGUAUUUUGGUCAAGACUUACUGCUGUGACUUGUUCCCAUGAACCAACAUCCUCUUGUGAAGGAAGGGCCAAAGUUUCCUUUAUUCCCAAGAGAACUGAUUACAGUGACUGUUUCUAUUUUGGUAAGUUAUAUAAACAUGUUUCGGUGAGAGCAAAAAAAAGCAUAGCAUGUUUAGUGAUUCAGCAAAAAUGAGGAUGGCUUUGGUUAGACAAAAACAGUUCAAGUCUUCUUAUUAGUGCCAUUUCCACUGACUCUCAAAAACAUUGCUUUUAAAAUUGCCUUAAGAAGAAAAAUUAGACUGUUUUUUUUUUUUUUUUGAGGAAGAUCAGCCCUGAGCUAAUUACUGCCAGCCCUCCUCUUUUUGCUGAGGAAGCCUGGCCCUGAGCUAACAUCCGUGCCCAUCUUCCUCUACUUUGUAUGUGGGACGCCUACCACAGCAUGGUGUGCCAAGUGGUGCCAUGUCCACACCCGGGAUCUGAACCGGCGAACCCUGGGCUGCUGAAGUGGAACGUGCAAACUUAACAGCUGCGCCACCAGGCUGGCCCCCAAAAUUAGACUGUUUAUGAAAAUCCCUUUCAAGCUUAUGGUAGAAUCAUAGCAAAAGUGACUGUAGGGAGGACAUUUCCAGAAUGUCAAGAUCAUAAUUUGGUAUUUGGUCAGAUAUUGCCUUCCAGAUAAUACUCUCUGCCAGCUUUGAGGUUUCUGUGUUUUGGACUAACAAACUAUCAAAGUCAAUGUUUCUACACAUAAGAAUAAAGAAUGGAAUGGUUUUUCAAGCACCUUUCAGUUGAAACCUAGAUGCUUAGUCUGUUAACAUGGUGGUGUAUUUGCUGUUUGAGUUUUUUUCUUAUUUCAGGAAAUUAAUUUACUGAAAGCCAAGGUAACCCCAUUUCACUUCUCCCUAUCAAAACAGGUAAGCCCAGCUGUAAGACCGAUAUAAGGAGACAGGGUCAGACAACACUGGCAGGGUAGGCUUUCCAUGUGCACAAAAGAGUGUAAAUAUACCACUAAUGUAACCAACCUAAGUGGAAGUGAGGCACUUCAUUGGGGGGAUUUAUUGGAAAAUUAUAGUUUGAUUAUUCAUUCAUUCAACAAAUAUGUAUUGACCACUUACCAUGGUGACACAGCCUCUGACCUCACAAAGCUUGCAUUCUAACGGUGGAGACCAUCAAGUAAACAAGUGUAACCAGGAUAACAUUUUGAAAGUGCUAAACAGAUGUAGUUUUAAUUCCCAUUAAAUCACAAUAGCCUGAAGCUUGCCACCAUAUAUGCACACAGAUGGACCAUACAAUCCAAACUUGGGCUAAUAAGGCUUUGUUAUAAGGAUGAAUAAGAGCUGGGGGCUAAAUAGUGAUAGGCAGAAGUGCAAACAAGUUGAAAUCCUGGAUCCCAGUGAGAGCAUUUGAGGAACUGAAAGAAGUUCAGCUGGAAAUAAGUGGCUGGAAUCAAAAAGGAAGUGGCAAAAGAUGAGGAUGGAGAAGUGAGCCAAAGUACAUCAAGUAUGUCCAAUAAGCCUUAUUACCAUGUAUUUGAGGAAUGGAAAGGAGGCCCUUGUGACUGGAACUAUCUAAGUGGAAUAUUUAAAAUCAUCAUUAUAAGUGGUGACCAACUUGAACAUUAGAGUUCAAUUAGUCUAUCAACCUCGGGAACCAUGAUGUUGCUGUGAUCCAAUUUGGAUGAGCACCUUGUGUAAGCAAGAAAAAUGAAAAAGAAUUUGGGUGUUUGGUCAAGUUGCCGUCACAUCUGCACUGGAUAUAGGGGAGUGAUGGACUCUGCACAGCAUCCUAUGGGUGCACAUUCUCAAAUAUUCUAAGGUCUCAUUGUGACAAGAGUGGGCGUAGGCUCGGGUUCAGUAAACAGCAGCAGAAAGUCUUGUGAGGCAGCUCUGAUUCCUCUCCUCCCUGCCCUUACUAGGGGCAGCUUCCCCAGAGGAAUGGAAAUUAGCAUUCAUAAGAGGCUUUGUCUAUGUUCGCUGAAAGAGCUGUAGAGCCCUAUCAUGGGGUUGAAGGGAGGGUGAGACAGGCCUGUGGGGUGCUACAUAUGGUGGUUACUAUUUAACUAUAGGUAUCAGAGGGAUCCAGAGAGCUAGUCUAUAGCAUAUGUCUAAGAAAGAGUGCUAGGGAUCAAAACUAGAAAAAUCAAAUCAGUUAUGGGUCCAAGAGUCAAGCAAGAAUCCAGAAACAAGAUGAAGAGGAGAAAAAAGCUCAUGAGUGAAGGGGUCUAGGUCUGGAACUUUUGCAAUGAGCAGAGUAAUGACACUUGGGUUCUCCUUAGUUGGGCACCAGCUGUACUUGCAUGAAUAAGUCAGCCUCAGUUAAGACAUAGGGUCAUAGUAGACAUGUAAAGAAAUGAGGAACACUGCUGACAGAUGGACACUGGGAACUACUGUCAAAAGAAACCAAGAAAAACCACAGCUGAGUGUUCCAAGAUGAAAAUGGCUCCUGGAAGGGUAAAUAGAGGAUCAGGCUGGGAGAUCACAUGACUCAGUGGUCUCUAUUCAGCUUUCUCUGAAAUUCUGAAAGAAGUCAUUUUGGUAUAAGAGAAAGGAAUAGAGAUAGAGGCAAACUGGGAAACAGAGACUCCUGGCAGGGCCUUAGACCAACUAGUACACAAUUAUAACCUCUUCUUGGAUGCCUGGUAGAGACUAAGAGAAAAGAUGACUGCAUAAAUCUAAGAGAUGCGUGGCGUCCUUUGUCACUGGUUUUUGGUUUGCAAACGGGCAGAUGAGAAAUGAGAUUCCUUCAAUGGUGACCUAAUGGCCUUUCACAUCCUAGUCAGUUUUUAUUAAUAGAUUGCCCUUUAUGAUAAUAAAUUUUCCUUCUUUGUAAUUUUCCUUAUACCCAAGCAGAAAAUAUAUUUACACCAGAGUCGUUUCUUUCCUUUAGGGCCAGAAACUAUUUGGGGGAGUCUCUGGCAGGGUGUUUGUUUUUCUUAUUUUUUUUAUGGUCUACUAUACAAGUUAUACAUGGUGAUUUGAAUUCAGAUUAAAGCAAUCUAUGAAGUCAAGAGAAAUCUAUGAAGUUGUUAAAAUAGGGAACUAAAUAUCCCUGAGUCUGAGGUUUUGAAGUCAAUUGAAACACAAACACAUUAAGUAAUCCUGCACGUGUCCUUUGGCUCGGUCUAUUUCCUUCAAGUGUGUGGUUUAUCUUUGUGUAAAGAGACUUAAAAUAAAUUAUGCUUAAAAUAGUAUUAUAAAAAUGAUUUUAUAAUUAAAUUAUUGUAAUUAAAUUAAUUUAAAUUGGCUUAAAUCUUUGACAAAAUUGAAAAAUACAAACUUUAAGACACAUUAUAUUGAAGUAAAUAAGGUAGGAGGAAGACUACGUCCAUAGUUAGGCUAAAAGCAGUCAAUGAGCACAAAACUUAGAUGUGAGUUUCUUGAUUGUUAGAGCACAAAUAAAUCAUGUUGGAUUCUAUAUUUCUCAUGAUCUAACCUAAGGAAUUAUACCUUUGUAUCCAAAUGGACAUUUUGUUUUCCCCAACACUCUAGGAGAAAUUUAUCACAAAAAUCAUUAUAUAAGAGACCUUUAGCAAGAUGGUAGACAAUACAUUCAGUUCACAGUUGAGGAAAUGCAGAAACAGUCUUCAUGUGGUUAUUUCUUAUAACAACCCUUUCUACAAUAGGAGGUAAAAUGUUAAGUCUAAUUUGAGAAAGUAUGACUUUGUGAGAGUAAAUUAGUAAUGGGAUUUUUGUGCGUGUGUGAUCUGAUGGUGGCAGUGGUAAACUGUUGAGAAGCUGGGGCAAUGAGCUCCCCCUCAUGAUUCAGAUGUCCCAGAUGAGCUUGUGAGAAGAGGAGUAGAGAAGAAAAUUCAAAAGCAAGCCUGCUCCAGAAAUGGCAAGCAUCUGGGUUGUAAGUUGAUGGGAGAUCCUCAUGUAGCCACUACCUGUGUAGGAAGCAAGGUCAAAGUUGUUAGGCAAGUUAAAGAGCCUUUUGCAAACUCUUGCCCAGAUGAAAGUUCUACUUCGAUUUUCACAGAAGUGGAUUGUCAUGAAAACAAGGUUUGGGAAAAAUUAAUGCUUGUGGUUUCCACAUACUAAAUUGGCUACUGGCAUAUUAUUCAAAGAGAAUAUAAAGCAUUCAUUGACUAUCUGAAUAAAAAAACUGCUUAAACUCUCAUUUUCCAGCUCAUGUGGUGGGAUAUACUAUUGACACAGCUGUCUUAACCUAUGUGUGGCAAAAUAUUAGCUUACUAAAGACCAUUCCUCAUCACCAUUUUCCUUAGAGGAGUAUCAUGCAAAAAAAGAGAAGCCCAUGGUAGUCAAGACUGUGGCAAUACUAUACUCCCCAUCAACAGCCAGGUGCAGCUAGAAGAAAACUUCCAAGAAGAGGCAGCAGAGUCUAUAAGAAGAUGUUGAACCUGUGUUGGGCAGCUGGUCUCAGCAGGGCCUGUAAGACAAGCAUCAAUUGCCAACCCUCGGCAUGUGGUUUAUUAUCAGUGAGUGGCAGUAGAGAACUGACUGAGUGCCAAGAGAAGCUGGAACCUCCUCUUGCUCAGCCACAGCACAGACCAGCAUAACCGGACCAACGGCUGGGUGCUUGGGGCAAGUCUCCCUGCAGCGAAGGGAGGAGGAAUGAGUAAUGAUGCCUGGGACAGAGAAAGUAGUGGUGUCCCUGGGGGCCAUACCUGUCUAGACCCCAAUAUAGAGAAGGGACAGUUUCCAAGCCAGUGAAAACAGAGAUGGGUGGGAUGGACCCACAAGAGAUAUUGGAGGGAACAGGACAUAGUUUUGCAUAGUUGUUUGGGGAAAGAAGUCUUCAAAUGAGAGGGAAGCCCCAGAUCUAUGUGGAGAAAUAUUACAUCUUUUUUUUCCUUUCCUUCCAGAACCAAAGCAGUGAGAGUGGCUUUUAGAAAAUACAGAAACUGUAAACCCUGGUGUGGGGCUUGUUGGCAGUGGGUAGUGAGUGAAUGAAUAACCCAUUUAGGAUUAUAUUUUAGAUUUUGGAGUCUACAUAUAUUAGUCCAAUCUCUGCGCUCCUCCUCAAAUACUCCCCAAAGCUAUAGCCUGGAUGGACCAACACCACCCCAAAUUAAAGGAAGAAAGAAAUUCUGGACUAAUAGACUAAAGGAUUGACUCUCAUGAUUUGAGGAGUAAAUAAAAUGUCUCCCAGUAUUUCCCAGCUUAUCUUCCCCUCAGCUACCAUGAUCUUUUACUGCUAAUUUUUAAAACCUAAUUGCUUAAACAAACUGACCCCACUUCCUUAUUCCCCUCGCUCUUCAACCUGACUUUUGUCCCCAUCUCUCCUCCAAUAGAGUUCCUGCUAAUGACCUCCAUGUCACUAAAUGCAAUGAGCAUUUUUUCAGUCUUCAUCUUACUUGACCACUCAGCAGCAUUUUUUUUCUGUGACGCCUAAUGUCCCUCCUACCUUCCUAUCUCUUAUUUUUAGACUUAUCCUCUUUUCUUGAGACCUUUAAAGUUGGUGCCCCUCAAGAUUUAUUCCUAAACUUUUUCUCUUAAUCGACAUCCAUAGAUAUGGGAUGUCACCCCUACCCAUUUGAAGCUAUCAAAUUCCCUCAUUCAAUCAAACUUAUCAUACUAAUCAAACUUAACUCUUAUUCCCCCUUGCCCUCCCAUCCUCCAAUUCACUCUCCACAGUGUUAUUUUAAAGAAGUACUCUUGUCACUUCUCUGCCCUUGGAUAAAGACUGGCUUCUGCUUGCUUCUCCUACUGCACCACAUUCAGCUUCUAUCAACAUCCUCCUUUCAGUUCUUUCUCUUUCAAGGUCUUUGCUAAGGCAGUUACCUCUGCCUGGAAUAUUUCUACCAUUCUCUGUGCCCCCCACAACCUCAUCUAGUUCUUGCCUAAUCAUCCUUCAUGUUUUUGCCCAAAUGUUACUUCCUCAGGAAGGCUUCCUGACAACACCAAAAUAGAUCAAGUCCAUCUCUCACAUGCAGAGCCCCGUGAACUCUUCCUUUAAAGGCUUGUCACUGUUUAUAUGUAUUCGUGUGAUUAUUUAAUUAAUUCGUGUCUCUCGUAUUAGCUCCAGAAGGGGAGAUGCCUUGGCUGUUAGUUCUCUCUGCACCUCAGGAACCCAGGACAGAGAAUGAGUGAAGAAACCGAGGUCUUCCACAGUCAGAGGGCACGGGGAUGCUGGAACACCCAGAAAUGGAUUCUUCCUGUGAGUGACAUCACACAGUUGGAUUGGAAGUUUCCUGUUCCAUCUCCAGAGGAGAUGACAGAGUGUGGCUUUAAGGAGAUACUGGGUGCAGACCUUGCCUCUUGGACUGAGAAGCCUUUCAGUGAGUCAGAAGAACAGGUAAUUGCAUUAAUCUUAUGUAAACCAGUCACCAGGAAACACUUGCUAUUUAUUCCACAAUCUAUUCUCCCUCUUUCAUCAUCACCAUUUGUGUUCCACCCAUACAGCAAAGCUCAUCUAAGAGAAAAAACAUUGCCAGCAGUAUUUACCUUCUGCUCAGCAUGAGAACAUUUGUCUUUGUGCAGUGAAUACGUCCAUUUAUAAGCAAACAG
rnacentral:lncRNA from 1 species